rnacentral:rRNA from 1 species
UAGGGAAUAUUAGUAAUGGGCGAAAGCCUGAACUAGCAACGCCGCGUGUGCGAAGAAGGCCUUCGGGUUGUAAAGCACUUUUUGAGAGGAUGAGGAAGGACGGUACUCUCAGAAUAAGUCUCGGCUAACUACGUGCCAGCAGCCGCGGUAACACGUAGGAGGCAAACGUUAUCCGGAUUUACUGGGCGUAAAGCGCGUGUAGGUGGUUUGGUAAGUAGGGCGUGAAAGCUCCUGGCUCAACUGAGAGAGGCCGUUCUAAACUGGCGAACUAGAGGAUGGUAGAGGGAGGUGGAAUGCCGGGUGUAGCGAUGGAAUGCGCAGAUAUCCGGAGGAACAACAGUGGCGAGAGCAGCCUCCUGGACCAUUCCUGACACUCAGACGCGAAAGCUAGGGUAGCAAACGG